AUGCAUGACAGCUAUGCAUCCAUGGUGAAGUUACUAUAUAAGUAUAGGGGCAAGCACUGCCCCGACAUACAUCCUAUUUUGAGUUUUUCCUCAAAGUCCCAUGGUCGUGUUGCUGUUAGAGUUGGAAGCACCGCCCUUGAUUUUGAAAUUGGAGAAGGAAGACGGAGAGUUCAGUACAGUAAGGAUGCUCUAUAA
rnacentral:rRNA from 1 species